UACGUAGGCGGCAAGCGUUGUCCGGAAUCAUUGGGCGUAAAGGGAGCGCAGGCGGAACAUUAAGCGGAUCUUAAAAGUGCGGGGCUCAACCCCGUGAUGGGGUCCGAACUGAGGUUCUUGAGUGCAGGAGAGGAAAGCGGAAUUCCCAGUGUAGCGGUGAAAUGCGUAGAUAUUGGGAAGAACACCAGUGGCGAAGGCGGCUUUCUGGACUGUAACUGACGCUGAGGCUCGAAAGCCAGGGUAGCGAACG
rnacentral:rRNA from 1 species